CCUACGGGCGGCAGCAGUGAGGAAUAUUGGUCAAUGGCCGGAAGGCUGAACCAGCCAUGCCGCGUGAAGGUCAGUGCCCUAUGGGCGUUAAACUUCUUUUGUGCGGGAGCAAUAAUGGUCACGUGUGGCCAGACGAGAGUACCGUACGAAUAAGCAUCGGCUAACUCCGUGCCAGCAGCCGCGGUAAUACGGGGGAUGCAAGCGUUAUCCGGAUUUAUUGGGUUUAAAGGGUGCGUAGGCUGUGAGGUAAGUCAGCGGUGAAAUGCCCCCGCUCAACGGGGUGAAGUGCCAUUGAUACUGCCUGGCUGGAGUGCGGGUGCCGUGGGAGGAAUGUGUGGUGUAGCGGUGAAAUGCAUAGAUAUCACACAGAACACCGAUUGCGAAGGCAUCUCACGAAUCCGCGAUUGACGCUGAUGCACGAAAGCGUGGGUAUCAAACAGGAUUAGAUACCCCAGUAGUC
rnacentral:rRNA from 1 species